UGAGCUGAGCUCUGCUGUGCUGUGCUGAGCAGGGCUGAGCUGAACUGGGCUGAGCUGGGC
rnacentral:pre_miRNA from 1 species